rnacentral:rRNA from 1 species
UACGAAGGGAGCUAGCGUUGUUCGGAAUCACUGGGCGUAAAGCGCACGUAGGCGGAUUUGUCAGUCAGGCGUGAAAUCCCGGGGCUCAACCUCGGAACUGCCUUUGAUACAGCAAGUCUUGAGUUCGAGAGAGGUGGGUGGAAUUCCUAGUGUAGAGGUGAAAUUCGUAGAUAUUAGGAAGAACACCAGUGGCGAAGGCGGCUCACUGGUCCGGUACUGACGCUGAGGUGCGAAAGCGUGGGGAGCAAACAGG